GCUGGUUUGCCCGAGAAGUUAAGUGAGAAGACUUAAGAUUUUUUGCAUAUAAGUGUGCAUGGGUUCGAACCCCAUAGCCAGCA
rnacentral:tRNA from 1 species